UAUCAUUAUGACGAUGAUGAUAAUGAUGGUGGUGGCCAUGAAGUUGUGGUUUCUUGUGAGGUUGUCUUGUUUGAACACUUGCUUUGGAUGCUUGAGAACGAUGGGGCUCAAUUGGGGUCCAUGGAAGAGCUGGUUGAGUUCUACACUUGCUAACAAAAACAAAAAAAACAACAUCUUUAAAGCUCUGUCAAAAGUUGUAAAACAUAAAUCUAUAUUUAUAUAUAUUGAGGCAUCGCAAGGAGAAGAAAAAAAACAACCAUAUUAUAAAAAAAAUUCAGUACAUUAGGCAGUUGAUUUAGUUUUUGUGUGUUCUUUCGAGAAGAUGAUAUUAUUACUUCGAGAUGUGUUGUUCAUCAAGAGCUCCACUGUGAACACUUUUUUCCUUCUUUUUUGCUUUUAUAUUGCUUGACAUGAAGUGUUACUGUCAUAUAAUUACAACCAAAAUGGUUGAGAAAUGGAAAUUUGGCUUUUCUUCUAUUAUAUCUUUCUUUUUCUUUUUUUUGUCCAUCUCAUGGAACCCUAAAUAAAUAACUAUUGCAAAAGUUAGUUUUGGUUAUGGCCCUAAUUUUCUAUUAAUAGUCCAAUUGUAGUUAAAAGGAUUGAAUGUGCAAAAAGGGAAAAAAAAUCAGCAAGUGGGGUUGGCAUCGAUCAAGCUCACGUUAGCAUGAUGCUAGGAUAGCUUUAAAAGAGUCCUCUACAGUCGUUUUCUCCACAACUGUCCUAAUUAAAAUCAAGUUGAGUCAAUGCAAUGCAGAGAGUGAAGAACAUGGUAUAGUCUUGAUAGAUGUUGAUGGUGAGGAAAGUCCUGCCCAUGUAUGAUGUACUUCAGUUUUUUAUUUGGUCCCCCAUAAAACCAGAUCUCCUUCAAGAUUUGCUCAGAAGACGGAAUCUUUAAGGAUAUAUAUGUAUAUGUCAACAUUAACAGGCAGCUCUGUAAUGGCUAGCUUCUGUAUUUACUUGGUAUUGUUGGCGGAUAUGCAGUAGCAGCUAGGAAUCUGCAGUGAAAGUCUGGUUUUACGCUCUAUAUAUCAAGCUUAGUGGGAACAUGGAGCAGAUGGAAUACUUAUUUUUCUUUACUAAGUUAAUUUCCUUAUUUUCGGAUCUGUAUUUUUGAGGCAAAGUAUAAUGUUUUAAGUUUUAAGCAGCGAGUCAAUGUUGGUAUAAUUCACGUUAAUUCACCUUUAUUACACUAUAAGUAUAAGACAACAAUUCGGUUGGUUGGCAUAAUGUUUUCCCUGCAAAUUGAAAAUUUUGUGGGGUAACCUGUCCUCGGAAGUUGACAGCGUAUUAGAGGAUUAUAUGAUUUAAAUUUCACUCUUCUUUUUUGAAUGUAAAGUUCAAACAAUUAAUACGUUUAGUGUGAGUCGAACCUAAGCCACUAAUAUACGAAUGAAUGUUUCUUUUAAAAGCAAAAAAAUGAUAGAGUAAUUAAAGAUUCUUUGGUAUUAUAUUUGAUCUUUUUAAUACAAUAAUAUUUAAAAUUAUCUAUAAUCUUUUUUUCAAUUUUAAAACACUAACCAUAAUAUUGAUACCAAUUAAAGUAAGAAAAACAAAUUUUAACUCCAAGUAAUUAGCUAAACAAAAUGAACUGAAAGGAAAACGGAAAUGAAGAGAAAUCUCCCACCCCUUUUCUUUAUCCUUCUCGGUGUCCAACCAAUCUUACUGUAAAUACCCAAAAACAUCAAUCUAUUUCAUAUCUAUACCUUCAUAGUUCAUAUCUAAAAAACAUAGAUGAUAGGAAGAAACUAUGAAUCUAUUUAACCAUAUAUGAACUAGUAAAUCUACAUUAUUUUUAUUAAAAUAGAAAUUCCAAGAUAUUCUUCCAUAGUAGAAGCUCAAGAGAUCUGAUAUGAGAGACGGACUAAAAGAUGGAAAGUUUCUCUAGUCUUGAGAGAGCAAAACUUAAUAGCCUCAAUCUCAUCAACUAAAGGGAAAGACAAAAUAUAGAGUCGGAUCCAUAUGUUAGUUUACUUUAAAUAUAAACCACACAACACCCGGCAAUAUGUUAUAUUUGGUAGAAAUUUGUCUUUUAAUUUAUGUAUAAUUCAACACAUAUAUCCAUUUUAAAAGAAUCAAAUACUCGAUAAAAAAAACACAUUAAUAUUAAUAUAUUGUGGCAUAUAAUUUCAUCAACACUAAAAACUGCAACAGCAACUUGCAUGAUCUCAUUGUUUCAGACCAAUUCCAUUAUAUUUGGUUGCCUGUAAUAGCCAUUCCAUUCCAGGCUAAUUCGGCGUGCGACAGUGAAACUGUAGUUUGGUUCAUGGAAUGGCCAUUCGACCGAGUGGGUUUUUAUUCCUCAAAUAUUUUUUCCCCAAAAACCAAAAAGAUCACAUAUGACAUUACCAAACCUACAGAAAAUAACACAAAACCCAUAUAAGCUUGAAAAGCUAAAAACGUUUUGCCAAAAAAAGAACGGAGGAGAGAGAAAAUACCUUGUGCUUUGGUUUAAGAGACUUGCAUGGGUUUUUUGACCUUAAAAUUUAUGAAGGGAGAAGAGAAGAAUGGAGAGAGAAACACAUCUCCAACCCAGCUCAAAGAAAAACGAUGGCAAAAAGGAUUCCUAAAUUAUUUUUGACUAAUUUAAAGUGUAGAUCUACGAUUACAUGGGCUGAUUCAGAGAAAAUUAAUUAGAGAAACAGAGAGAAGGGAUUAAGAUCGUUCUCCAAAGGAUUUUUCUUAUGAACAAAGACAUCGAUGGACGGUGGCAGGCGGCAGCUGUUACGGAGGAGGACUGUCGGAUUCUGGAAAGGAUGCACUUUCUUACGAGUGUUCAUGUUUUUAAUACAGAGAGACGGAGAGAACUUGGGGCGUGGGGGUAAUUAGAGAGAAAAAGAACGUUAAAAAUGAUUAAAACAAAGAAAAAAAAAUCACUACAUUAAAUAUAUGUUUAAUAAAUCGAACACAACUAUUUAUAUAACUG
rnacentral:lncRNA from 1 species